rnacentral:rRNA from 1 species
AGUCGAACGCGGUUUCCCCGCAAGGGGAAACUGAGUGGCGAACGGGUGAGUAACACGUGGGUGACCUACCUUCGAGUGGGGGAUAACGUCCCGAAAGGGACGCUAAUACCGCAUAACAUCCUGCCUUUGAACAGGCGGAGAUCAAAGCCGGGGAUCGUAAGACCUGGCGCUUGAUGAGGGGCCCGCGUCCGAUUAGCUAGUUGGUGAGGUAAUGGCUCACCAAGGCAACGAUCGGUAGCCGGCCUGAGAGGGCGGACGGCCACACUGGGACUGAGACACGGCCCAGACUCCUACGGGAGGCAGCAGUGGGGAAUUGUUCGCAAUGGGCGCAAGCCUGACGACGCAACGCCGCGUGGAGGAUGAAGGUCUUCGGAUUGUAAACUCCUGUUGCCCGGGACGAAUGGCGCCAACCUAAUACGUUGGCGUGUGACGGUACCGGGUGAGGAAGCCCCGGCUAACUCUGUGCCAGCAGCCGCGGUAAUACAGAGGGGGCAAGCGUUGUUCGGAAUUACUGGGCGUAAAGGGCGCGUAGGCGGCCUGUUAAGUCGAACGUGAAAUCCCCGGGCUCAACCCGGGAACUGCGUCCGAUACUGGCAGGCUUGAAUCCGGGAGAGGGAUGCGGAAUUCCAGGUGUAGCGGUGAAAUGCGUAGAUAUCUGGAGGAACACCGGUGGCGAAGGCGGCAUCCUGGACCGGCAUUGACGCUGAGGCGCGAAAGCCAGGGGAGCAAACGGGAUUAGAUACCCCGGUAGUCCUGGCCCUAAACGAUGAAUGCUUGGUGUGGCGGGUAUCGAUCCCUGCCGUGCC